rnacentral:rRNA from 1 species
UACGAAGGGGGCUAGCGUUGCUCGGAAUCACUGGGCGUAAAGGGUGCGUAGGCGGGUCUUUAAGUCAGAGGUGAAAUCCUGGAGCUCAACUCCAGAACUGCCUUUGAUACUGAGGAUCUUGAGUACGGGAGAGGUGAGUGGAACUGCGAGUGUAGAGGUGAAAUUCGUAGAUAUUCGCAAGAACACCAGUGGCGAAUGCGGCUCACUGGCCCGUUACUGACGCUGAGGCACGAAAGCGUGGGGAGCAAACAGG